GACGUAGGGGGCGAGCGUUGUCCGGAUUUAUUGGGCGUAAAGCGUGCGCAGGCGGUUUUGUAAGUCAGAUGUGAAAUCCCCGGGCUUAACCUGGGAAUGGCAUUUGGGACUGCAAGGCUCGAGUGCGGCAGAGGAGACUGGAAUUCCUGGUGUAGCAGUGAAAUGCGUAGAUAUCAGGAGGAACACCGAUGGCGAAGGCAGGUCUCUGGGCUGACACUGACGCUCAUGCGCGAAAGCGUGGGGAGCAAACAGG
rnacentral:rRNA from 1 species